rnacentral:rRNA from 1 species
GACGAACGCUGGCGGCGUGCUUAACACAUGCAAGUCGAACGGAAAGGCCCUGCUUUUGUGGGGUGCUCGAGUGGCGAACGGGUGAGUAACACGUGAGUAACCUGCCCUUGACUUUGGGAUAACUUCAGGAAACUGGGGCUAAUACCGGAUAGGAGCUCCUGCUGCAUGGUGGGGGUUGGAAAGUUUCGGCGGUUGGGGAUGGACUCGCGGCUUAUCAGCUUGUUGGUGGGGUAGUGGCUUACCAAGGCUUUGACGGGUAGCCGGCCUGAGAGGGUGACCGGCCACAUUGGGACUGAGAUACGGCCCAGACUGCUACGGGAGGCAGCAGUGGGGAAUAUUGCACAAUGGGCGGAAGCCUGAUGCAGCAACGCCGCGUGCGGGAUGACGGCCUUCGGGUUGUAAACCGCUUUCGCCUGUGACGAAGCGUGAGUGGCGGUAAUGGGUAAAGAAGCACCGGCUAACUACGUG